UUAAGCGACUAAGCGUACACGGUGGAUGCCCUGGCAGUCAGAGGCGAUGAAGGACGUGCUAAUCUGCGAUAAGCGUCGGUAAGGUGAUAUGAACCGUUAUAACCGGCGAUUUCCGAAUGGGGAAACCCAGUGUGUUUCGACACACUAUCAUUAACUGAAUCCAUAGGUUAAUGAGGCGAACCGGGGGAACUGAAACAUCUAAGUACCCCGAGGAAAAGAAAUCAACCGAGAUUCCCCCAGUAGCGGCGAGCGAACGGGGAGCAGCCCAGAGCCUGAAUCAGUGUGUGUGUUAGUGGAAGCGUCUGGAAAGGCGCGCGAUACAGGGUGACAGCCCCGUACACAAAAAUGCACAUGCUGUGAGCUCGAUGAGUAGGGCGGGACACGUGGUAUCCUGUCUGAAUAUGGGGGGACCAUCCUCCAAGGCUAAAUACUCCUGACUGACCGAUAGUGAACCAGUACCGUGAGGGAAAGGCGAAAAGAACCCCGGCGAGGGGAGUGAAAAAGAACCUGAAACCGUGUACGUACAAGCAGUGGGAGCACGCUUAGGCGUGUGACUGCGUACCUUUUGUAUAAUGGGUCAGCGACUUAUAUUCUGUAGCAAGGUUAACCGAAUAGGGGAGCCGAAGGGAAACCGAGUCUUAACUGGGCGUUAAGUUGCAGGGUAUAGACCCGAAACCCGGUGAUCUAGCCAUGGGCAGGUUGAAGGUUGGGUAACACUAACUGGAGGACCGAACCGACUAAUGUUGAAAAAUUAGCGGAUGACUUGUGGCUGGGGGUGAAAGGCCAAUCAAACCGGGAGAUAGCUGGUUCUCCCCGAAAGCUAUUUAGGUAGCGCCUCGUGAAUUCAUCUCCGGGGGUAGAGCACUGUUUCGGCAAGGGGGUCAUCCCGACUUACCAACCCGAUGCAAACUGCGAAUACCGGAGAAUGUUAUCACGGGAGACACACGGCGGGUGCUAACGUCCGUCGUGAAGAGGGAAACAACCCAGACCGCCAGCUAAGGUCCCAAAGUCAUGGUUAAGUGGGAAACGAUGUGGGAAGGCCCAGACAGCCAGGAUGUUGGCUUAGAAGCAGCCAUCAUUUAAGAAAGCGUAAUAGCUCACUGGUCGAGUCGGCCUGCGCGGAAGAUGUAACGGGGCUAAACCAUGCACCGAAGCUGCGGCAGCGACGCUUAUGCGUUGUUGGGUAGGGGAGCGUUCUGUAAGCCUGCGAAGGUGUGCUGUGAGGCAUGCUGGAGGUAUCAGAAGUGCGAAUGCUGACAUAAGUAACGAUAAAGCGGGUGAAAAGCCCGCUCGCCGGAAGACCAAGGGUUCCUGUCCAACGUUAAUCGGGGCAGGGUGAGUCGACCCCUAAGGCGAGGCCGAAAGGCGUAGUCGAUGGAAACAGGUUAAUAUUCCUGUACUUGGUGUUACUGCGAAGGGGGACGGAGAAGGCUAUGUUGGCCGGGCGACGGUUGUCCCGGUUUUAAGCGUGUAGGCUGGUUUUCCAGGCAAAUCCGGAAAAUCAAGGCUGAGGCGUGAUGACGAGGCACUACGGUGCUGAAGCAACAAAUGCCCUGCUUCCAGGAAAAGCCUCUAAGCAUCAGGUAACAUCAAAUCGUACCCCAAACCGACACAGGUGGUCAGGUAGAGAAUACCAAGGCGCUUGAGAGAACUCGGGUGAAGGAACUAGGCAAAAUGGUGCCGUAACUUCGGGAGAAGGCACGCUGAUAUGUAGGUGAAGUCCCUCGCGGAUGGAGCUGAAAUCAGUCGAAGAUACCAGCUGGCCUGCAACUGUUUAUUAAAAACACAGCACUGUGCAAACACGAAAGUGGACGUAUACGGUGUGACGCCUGCCCGGUAGCCGGAAAGGUUAAUUGAUGGGGUUAGCGCAAGCGAAGCUCUUGAUCGAAGCCCCGGUAAACGGCGGCCGUAACUAUAACGGUCCUAAGGUAGCGAAAUUCCUUGUCGGGUAAGUUCCGACCUGCACGAAUGGCGUAAUGAUGGCCAGGCUGUCUCCACCCGAGACUCAGUGAAAUUGAACUCGCUGUGAAGAUGCAGUGUACCCGCGGCAAGACGGAAAGACCCCGUGAACCUUUACUAUAGCUUGACACUGAACAUUGAGCCUUGAUGUGUAGGAUAGGUGGGAGGCUUUGAAGUGUGGACGCCAGUCUGCAUGGAGCCGACCUUGAAAUACCACCCUUUAAUGUUUGAUGUUCUAACGUUGACCCGUGAUCCGGGUUGCGGACAGUGUCUGGUGGGUAGUUUGACUGGGGCGGUCUCCUCCUAAAGAGUAACGGAGGAGCACGAAGGUUGGCUAAUCCUGGUCGGACAUCAGGAGGUUAGUGCAAUGGCAUAAGCCAGCUUGACUGCGAGCGUGACGGCGCGAGCAGGUGCGAAAGCAGGUCAUAGUGAUCCGGUGGUUCUGAAUGGAAGGGCCAUCGCUCAACGGAUAAAAGGUACUCCGGGGAUAACAGGCUGAUACCGCCCAAGAGUUCAUAUCGACGGCGGUGUUUGGCACCUCGAUGUCGGCUCAUCACAUCCUGGGGCUGAAGUAGGUCCCAAGGGUAUGGCUGUUCGCCAUUUAAAGUGGUACGCGAGCUGGGUUUAGAACGUCGUGAGACAGUUCGGUCCCUAUCUGCCGUGGGCGCUGGAGAACUGAGGGGGGCUGCUCCUAGUACGAGAGGACCGGAGUGGACGCAUCACUGGUGUUCGGGUUGUCAUGCCAAUGGCACUGCCCGGUAGCUAAAUGCGGAAGAGAUAAGUGCUGAAAGCAUCUAAGCACGAAACUUGCCCCGAGAUGAGUUCUCCCUGACUCCUUGAGAGUCCUGAAGGAACGUUGAAGACGACGACGUUGAUAGGCCGGGUGUGUAAGCGCAGCGAUGCGUUGAGCUAACCGGUACUAAUGAACCGUGAGGCUUAACCUU
rnacentral:rRNA from 1 species